rnacentral:snRNA from 1 species
GUGCUCACUUUGGCGUCACAUAGAGUGAAAUCAGAAUGAGAAAGAGAUUAGCCUGGCCCCUGCGUUAGGAUGACACGCAAAUUUGUGAAGAGUUCCAUAGUUUU